UUCCAGAUGGUCCUAAAGUCCCAGCAUAUUGCUACAGUUAACAAAAAGCUUUUGUAAAUGGUAUAUUAACCACUAAGGGGCAUGUGGUACCAUUAACUUGUGCUAUGAGUUCCUGUUGUUAAUGGUAAAAUGUGCCUGAGCAUGCAUUUUUCUUUUUAAAUCAUACAUAAUUACAGUAUUCAUUGUACAUGAUAUUAAAAAACAGACAGGAAAGUUCUCUUUAAAAAACUAUAGGGUACACAUGUGAACAAGCAUUGAAAUUUCAGAUGGUAUAAAAUUUCAGAAUAUUUGAAACUUGGAGAUAAUUUGAUCCUAAAACCUGCAAAUACAAAACUAGAAAUAUUUGAGAUGUUUUUGCCUUUUAUCUUUUCUAAUUUGCCUAAUAUAAAGUGAAUUAAUGAAAAGUUAUCUUUCAAAUAUUGUUUUUAUGCUUAAUUAUUAUUGUGAAUAAUAACUGGUAGUAUAUCAUAUAAAUAGUGCUUUGUUCUUUCUUGUUGAAUAAGCUUACUUGAUUAAUACAUUUAACAUCAAAAUUUCUGCUGUUGACUCACUGGUUAUUUCUAGAACAUUCCUAGACCAAGGACUGUUUAAAAGUUCUCUGUCCUUACUGUAGAUUGAUGUAGGAGUCUGUCUGCCUUGAGGAUUGUGCUAGUUUGUUAAGGAGUAAAAAGACUAAAGUUAUUGCUAUUAUUAGCAAAUUACAAAAUAUUAAUGAUGUUUUGAAGAAAAUGAGACAGGUUUACUAGAAAUCCUCUUAAGCCUAAAGUUUGCUUAAAUGAAAAAAGGGAGGAAAACCUGAAAAUUAAAAUGCCAUAGUGUAAGAGGAAGGAGCUAGCCACUAACAAGUUCAAGGUCAUAAAGUGUACUUCCUACUUGUUAUAAGAACCUAAGGCUGUAGUUCCUCUUACAGACUGCCACCUUAUAUAAGGUUGCCAAGGUAACUUCCUGCUCUAAACUAUGCUCUGAGAGACUUGAUUACAUCCUUUUAAUUUAGACCUCAAAUUUAGAUUCUACUUGGAAUAACUAGGAUGUGGUAGGGGAGAAAUCACUAAUAACAUUCAUAGUUUUUGCUAAGACAAAACAUUUUUGCUGGCAUGUAUGCACUUAUAGUAGACUAAAUCAAUAGAGAGUAUGCCCAGCCAGCUCCCCAGUCUAGCCAGGCUGGUUUCUUUGUUUAUGUAAAGUAACUUAAAGAAAAAGCCAUGUUUUACUUGGGCAUUUUUUUUUAACUUGGGCAUUUUUUGCAUGUGAAUAUUAAAAAUAUUGUAUGGAUUUACUCCCUGUAUAACAAUAUCUUUUUUUGUCAUAGUAAAAAUGUACUAGAGAUUUAUGAGCCUCUAUUGAAAUGCAAAUAUGUAUUUAGAGAGACUCAGAGGCACCACAGUCAACCAAUCAAAUCUUUCAUUCAGUUUUAGAGCUAACUAUCUAUUCAUUAUCUUAUUUGUUCAACAAUCACAUACUGACCCACUAGAGGGGCAAAGCGUUGUAUGAGCUCUACUCUUGCCCAAGGAGUAGAAGAGUGUUAAUCACCAUAGCACAUGGCGAUCAACUCUUUAACAGAAACGUUCUUCAUCAGACCAUGACACCCAGGAUGCCUUUUGGAAAAAGGAAUACAUUAGACAUGUUUAAAGAUAUGUAGAUGGCAACUCUAGAGAACAGGUUUGAACUUGGGGGUAUUUGUCAUGGAAGACUGUCAUGGGAGCCUGGCUGGAAGGGAUCUGGAGUACAAAUAAGAGCCCCAUAGACUUGAAAGGCAUUGUGUUAUUCCUGUAGGAAACAAGAGCCAAGCAGGACACUGACAACAGGCAUGCUAAUGCAGGAGGCCAGUGUGGAAGCAGCAGUGACAUAGACUCAGAGAAUGUUCGGGUGAGAAAGGAGCUUAGUUGCAAAUGACCAUGGCUUUUAGGUUUGAUGUCCCCUACAGUGAUGCUUGGUCACUGUAAAGUUUGGGAAGGGGCUUAUUCAGACUUUCAUCUUGCCUUGCUAAAUACAGAGCUCUUUCAGGAACAUUUUUUUAAAUCCUAAGGUUAAUAUAAUAAAACUUUCUGUAAUACAUAUAAUUUUAUUUUAUUUUAUGUAUAUUUGACAUUUUGAACUUGAAUAUAUCAGAAAAUAGAAUGAGAACUCUAAUAUUUUUAAAUAAAAUCAAAACUGAUUGAAUCAAGUGAGGAUAUUUCAGCAAAAGGUCUCUCCCCUUGAGUAAUCUGAUAUUUUUCAGAAUAAAGUAGUUUUAUAGAUAUUUUUCAACAAAAAUUGAUAAAAUAAUUUUCCUUACUAUCCCAAGGCUCUUUGUUCUUAGUGGAAAGAUACUGGAAGAUCGUAUGUAUAGUUGGGCCUAUUGAUACUGCCUUUGUUCGUAACUACAAAAUGAAGAUCUUGGAAAGAAUGGAUAGAGUUUACAGAACUCCACUCUAGAGCCGUAGCCCAGUUUUAGCCACAGUUGAUAUUCAAUAGCAAAAUUAAUUACAGGAAUAUGAAAGGCCUGGAUCAAAAUAAUACUGCUUCUUUCACCAUUAAAAAUGACCAGGAAAUACUAAGGUAUGUUGCCAUUGCUGGCCUCUAUUAACUUGAGACCACAUUGUAAUCAUUCAUAGUCAUUAAUUUUCAAAUUUAUACAUAAAAACUAUAGAACAGAGAAAGAAGUAUUCAACAAAUUUGUUAGGAUAAGGGGAGAGCUAUUAAAUAAUUUAAGUUUUAACAUACUAUGGUUUCAUAAGAAGGUCCCUUCCUAGUUUUAUGUUCUUAAAAUUCUGUAACAUCGUUUAUUAGAAAAUGUAGACAGGACCAUGAAAGUGUUAAUACAUUUAUUUUUAAUGUAACCAUGACUGAAAGUGCCUAGCACAAGUUUUUACCCAACAUUUUUUUCCAGUAUGCAUACUUGUUGAGUAAAUAGCUUAUGAUAUUUAACUUAAGACACAACUUCAACUCAUUUAUUAUCCCAACAGUAGAGGAAACUGUCAUAUUCUCUCUUGGCAGCAGAUAUCCAAUAACUCACAGUAUGGCACAUUGCAAUGAGCUCUUAAAUAGGCUGUGUCUUUUCUCAUUGAAAAUAGAAUAUGUUCUAGUACAACAGAUCAGUUUAUAUUAACUGGAAGUUUUUUUUAAAGAGGUGUCAUACUAAAGAAGAAAAACAAAAUAUAAACGCCAGAUUUUCACCACUGAAUUUUCUGACACUUAACCAAAUUAUGUUGCAUCAACCCAAACAGAUUAUGUAAAUUUGAAUGAAUCAUACUUGUCAUUAACCAUUUUUAACCAAAGAAUUUUGAGAUUUAAAAAUAUCUUCAGGGAAAACAAAACAAAAAACAG
rnacentral:lncRNA from 1 species